AUAACAUAACCAUCAAUUAAGUCGUCCACUCAUAUUUAUACUCUCAUUGUGUGAGAGUGAAAAAUCCACAAUGAGAGUUAGAUCAACUCAUUUAGAGGGCUCAAGCUAUGGUCUGAACCAUUUCGAAAGGGAUUGAUAAUGCACCGGUAGUACAUUGGGUUACAUCAAGUGACCCAAUGAAGUCGACAGUCUGAAAAGUCUGCAGUCUUGAUUUAUCAGUCUUUUAAUUCUUUGUAAAAUUGUGAUGACAAAUGAUUGUACACCAAUUACUCCCGUCAACAGGGAUUAAGGUUCCGUUCGCUUAUGUCGAACCCCCAGAAGGCUCCCACGAAAGCGGAACUAAAGUUUUCGUCGAGACCUGAGUCAACUCUCCAAAUCGCCGAGUUGAGGAGAAGAUCGCCAGAGUCUGGAAGGCUGACGAUCUUCCCUCUGAACUCGUCGAUUUCACCCCCAACUCGUCAAUCACCGAUUUGGACCGUUGCUCGCGUCCAGCUCGAGCCAUAAUGGUCGGGCGCGAUCUCCACCGCGGAUUACGCCCCCAGAGGUCCUAUAAAAGGAGACCUUGUAUUCAAUCCAAAGGCAUCAGUUCCAUCGAUUUUAGAGUAUGAUUCACGGAGCAAUCGUCGAUUUACUCAUUAAAUCGCUGAUUCCUGGCCUCCCGGAAGACUUGACCUAGAGUACGUGUUGUGGAUCUCAGAGCCUCCGGCAACGUUGUUAAGAUUUGACCCUGGGCAACGUUGGUGAGGAAGAUAGAAGAAGAAAAGUAUGUUAAACACAAUUAACCCAAAGUGGAGGGUUUAGACUUUAAUCAGAGAGAAGAAGAGAGUGUUUAACUUGAUAUU
rnacentral:lncRNA from 1 species